rnacentral:rRNA from 1 species
AACGAACGCUGGCGGCAGGCUUAACACAUGCAAGUCGAACGCCCCGCAAGGGGAGUGGCAGACGGGUGAGUAACGCGUGGGAAUCUACCUAGUUCUACGGAACAACAGUUGGAAACGACUGCUAAUACCGUAUACGCCCUACGGGGGAAAGAUUUAUCGGAAGUAGAUGAGCCCGCGUAAGAUUAGCUAGUUGGUGAGGUAAUGGCUCACCAAGGCGACGAUCUUUAGCUGGUCUGAGAGGGUGAUCAGCCACACUGGGCCUGAGACACGGCCCGGAUUCCUACGGGAGGCAGCAGUGGGGAAUAUUGGACAAUGGGCGCAAGCCUGAUCCAGCCAUGCCGCGUGAGUGAUGAAGGCCUUAGGGUUGUAAAGCUCUUUCAGUAGGGAAGAUAAUGACGGUACCUACAGAAGAAGCCCCGGCUAACUUCGUGCCAGCAGCCGCAGUAAAAC